UACAGAGGUGGCAAGCGUUGUUCGGAAUUACUGGGCGUAAAGGGCGCGUAGGCGGCCUACUAAGUCAGACGUGAAAUCCCCCGGCUUAACCUGGGAACUGCGUCUGAUACUGGAAGGCUUGAGGAUGGGAGAGGGAUGUAGAAUUCCAGGUGUAGCGGUGAAAUGCGUAGAUAUCUGGAGGAACACCGGUGGCGAAAGGCGGCUUCCUGGACCGAUCACUGACGCUGAGGCGCGAAAGCUAGGGGAGCAAACGGG
rnacentral:rRNA from 1 species